UAUUGUUGCCAAGACACAAUUUUCAUGUCAUAAGCUCAAUGAAAGUAUUUUCCAUUCAUUUCAAUGGCACGCCCUUUAUAAUCAAUGAAUUUUUUCCAUGUCGACAAAUUCAAUAACAAUACCGAAAUGAACCUUCCAAGGUUACAGACGACCCGUAUAUUUCUACAACAAUCAAAGAAAAAUAAGAUAAGGUUGAUAUUCGAAAUUAGACGGGAUUGUUUUCAAAACAUCAUACCAAUAGCUCGAUUCAUUGUGAUCGUUAUUGAACUUGAACAAUGCUCGCAAACAAGUUUAUAAAUGAUACUCUCUAGGCACAAGUCAAGAAGAUAGAUCAAGUUUAGACACAAUAAUUAGGCAGGAAGAUAAGAAUUCAGCAUAACCCUGUAAAUAUUUUGAUAUCCGAAAUAAUAGAUAACAAUUUUCGCUGGAUCGAGACAGAAUACGUUGAAACAAAUGGGUGUAUUAUUCCAAAGAGAAGACAGAUCGUUGGGAAUGGGGGAUUCGAUGCCAUAAACCAUUUUAGUUUGGCGAAAAACGUGGGGCCUGUAUUGAAGGUGAUAAUUUAAUAAUCAGUGAACCUUCAACUAGCAUGGUACACUACAAGAAUGAUGAACAACACUUCAUCCAGGAGACAUCCAGUACCAGUACACAAGAUCCUCAUACAUCACCAAAUUCAAGUAGA